UACGAAGGGGGCUAGCGUUGUUCGGAUUUACUGGGCGUAAAGCGCACGUAGGCGGAUUGUUAAGUCAGGGGUGAAAUCCCGGAGCUCAACUCCGGAACUGCCUUUGAUACUGGCAAUCUAGAGUCCGGAAGAGGUGAGUGGAACUCCUAGUGUAGAGGUGGAAUUCGUAGAUAUUAGGAAGAACACCAGUGGCGAAGGCGGCUCACUGGUCCGGUACUGACGCUGAGGUGC
rnacentral:rRNA from 1 species